rnacentral:rRNA from 1 species
AUUGAACGCUGGCGGCAUGCCUACACAUGCAAGUCGAACGGCAGCGGGGGAGAAGCUUGCUUUUCCUGCCGGCGAGUGGCGAACGGGUGAGUAAUACAUCGGAACGUGCCCAGUCGUGGGGGAUAACGUAGCGAAAGUUACGCUAAUACCGCAUACGAUCUACGGAUGAAAGCGGGGGACCGUAAGGCCUCGCGCGAUUGGAGCGGCCGAUGUCAGAUUAGGUAGUUGGUGAGGUAAAGGCUCACCAAGCCGACGAUCUGUAGCUGGUCUGAGAGGACGACCAGCCACACUGGGACUGAGACACGGCCCAGACUCCUACGGGAGGCAGCAGUGGGGAAUUUUGGACAAUGGGCGCAAGCCUGAUCCAGCCAUUCCGCGUGCAGGACGAAGGCCUUCGGGUUGUAAACUGCUUUUGUACGGAACGAAAAGGCUCUGGUUAAUACCUGGGGCUCAUGACGGUACCGUAAGAAUAAGCACCGGCUAACUACGUGCCAGCCGCCGCCGUAA